rnacentral:rRNA from 1 species
UACGUAGGGUCCGAGCGUUGUCCGGAAUUACUGGGCGUAAAGAGCUCGUAGGUGGUUGUCGCGUUGUUCGUGAAACUCACAGCUCAACUGUGGGCGUGCGGGCGAUACGGGCAGACUAGAGUACUGCAGGGAGACUGGAAUUCCUGGUGUAGCGGUGGAAUGCGCAGAUAUCAGGAGGAACACCGGUGGCGAAGGCGGGUCUCUGGGCAGUAACUGACGCUGGAGGAGCGAAAGCGUGGGAGCGAACAGG